rnacentral:rRNA from 2 species
AAAUUGAAGAGUUUGAUCAUGGCUCAGAUUGAACGCUGGCGGCAGGCCUAACACAUGCAAGUCGAACGGUAACAGGAAGCAGCUUGCUGCUUUGCUGACGAGUGGCGGACGGGUGAGUAAUGUCUGGGAAACUGCCUGAUGGAGGGGGAUAACUACUGGAAACGGUGGCUAAUACCGCAUAACGUCGCAAGACCAAAGAGGGGGACCUUCGGGCCUCUUGCCAUCAGAUGUGCCCAGAUGGGAUUAGCUAGUUGGUGAGGUAACGGCUCACCAAGGCGACGAUCCCUAGCUGGUCUGAGAGGAUGACCAGCCACACUGGAACUGAGACACGGUCCAGACUCCUACGGGAGGCAGCAGUGGGGAAUAUUGCACAAUGGGCGCAAGCCUGAUGCAGCCAUGCCGCGUGUAUGAAGAAGGCCUUCGGGUUGUAAAGUACUUUCAGCGGGGAGGAAGGUGUUGUGGUUAAUAACCGCAGCAAUUGACGUUACCC